rnacentral:rRNA from 1 species
UACGUAGGGUGCAAGCGUUGUCCGGAUUUAUUGGGCGUAAAGGGCUCGUAGGCGGUCCGUCACGUCGGAAGUGAAAGCCUAGAGCUUAACUCUGGGCCUGCUUUCGAUACGGGCGAACUUGAGUUCGGUAGGGGAGACUGGAAUUCCUGGUGUAGCGGUGGAAUGCGCAGAUAUCAGGAGGAACACCAAUGGCGAAGGCAGGUCUCUGGGCCGAUACUGACGCUGAGGAGCGAAAGCGUGGGGAGCGAACAGG